GACGAACGCUGGCGGCGUGCUUAACACAUGCAAGUCGAACGGAAAGACCCUGCUUUUGUGGGGUGCUCGAGUGGCGAACGGGUGAGUAACACGUGAGUAACCUGCCCUUGACUUUGGGAUAACUUCAGGAAACUGGGGCUAAUACCGGAUAGGAGCUCCUGCUGCAUGGUGGGGGUUGGAAAGUUUCGGCGGUUGGGGAUGGACUCGCGGCUUAUCAGCUUGUUGGUGGGGUAGUGGCUUACCAAGGCUUUGACGGGUAGCCGGCCUGAGAGGGUGACCGGCCACAUUGGGACUGUGAUACGGCCCAGACUCCUACGGGAGGCAGCAGUGGGGAAUAUUGCACAAUGGGCGGAAGCCUGAUGCAGCAACGCCGCGUGCGGGAUGACGGCCUUCGGGUUGUAAACCGCUUUCGCCUGUGACGAAGCGUGAGUGACGGUAAUGGGUAAAGAAGCACCGGCUAACUACGUG
rnacentral:rRNA from 1 species